rnacentral:rRNA from 1 species
AACGAACGCUGGCGGCAGGCCUAACACAUGCAAGUCGAACGCCCUAGCAAUAGGGAGUGGCAGACGGGUGAGUAACACGUGGGAACCUUCCCUAUAGUACGGAAUAUACCAGGGAAACUUGGAGCAAUACCGUAUACGCCCGAGAGGGGAAAGAUUAUCGCUAUAGGAUGGGCCCGCGUAGGAUUAGCUAGUUGGUGAGGUAAUGGCUCACCAAGGCGACGAUCCUUAGCUGGUUUGAGAGAACGACCAGCCACACUGGGACUGAGACACGGCCCAGACUCCUACGGGAGGGCAGCAGUGGGGAAUAUUGGACAAUGGGCGCAAGCCUGAUCCAGCCAUGCCGCGUGAAGUGAUGAAGGCCUUCGGUUG